rnacentral:rRNA from 1 species
GAUGAACGCUACGGCAGGCCUAAUACAUGCAAGUCGAACGGGAUCCAUUGGUAGCUUGCUACCGAUGGUGAGAGUGGCGCACGGGUGCGUAACGCGUGAGCAACCUACCCAUAUCAGGGGGAUAGCCCGGAGAAAUCCGGAUUAAUACCGCAUAUGACCGAUUAAGGGCAUCUUUUUUCGGUCAAAUAUUUAUAGGAUAUGGAUGGGCUCGCGUGACAUUAGCUAGUUGGUGAAGUAACGGCUCACCAAGGCGACGAUGUCUAGGGGCUCUGAGAGGAGAAUCCCCCACACUGGUACUGAGACACGGACCAGACUCCUACGGGAGGCAGCAGUAAGGAAUAUUGGUCAAUGGGGGGAACCCUGAACCAGCCAUGCCGCGUGCAGGAUGACUGCCCUAUGGGUUGUAAACUGCUUUUAUUGGGGAAUAACUGUCACUACGUGUAGUGAUUUGAAUGUACCCAACGAAUAAGGAUCGGCUAACUCCGUGCCAGCAGCCGCGGUAAUACGGAGGAUCCAAGCGUUAUCCGGAAUUAUUGGGUUUAAAGGGUGCGUAGGCGGCAUUUUAAGUCAGGGGUGAAAUACGGCAGCUCAACUGUCGCAGUGCCUUUGAUACUGAAGUGCUUGAAUGCGGAUGAAGACGGCGGAAUGAGACAAGUAGCGGUGAAAUGCAUAGAUAUGUCUCAGAACACCAAUUGCGAAGGCAGCUGUCUAAGUCGUUAUUGACGCUGAUGCACG